rnacentral:rRNA from 1 species
ACGGAAGGCAGCAGUGGGGAAUAUUGCACAAUGGGGGGAACCCUGAUGCAGCGAUGCCGCGUGGAGGAAGAAGGUUUUCGGAUUGUAAACUCCUGUCUUAAAGGACGAUAAUGACGGUACUUUAGGAGGAAGCUCCGGCUAACUACGUGCCAGCAGCCGCGGUAAUACGUAGGGAGCGAGCGUUGUCCGGAAUUACUGGGUGUAAAGGGAGCGUAGGCGGGAUUGCAAGUCAGAUGUGAAAACUAUGGGCUUAACCCAUAGACUGCAUUUGAAACUGUAGUUCUUGAGUGGAGUAGAGGUAAGCGGAAUUCCUGGUGUAGCGGUGAAAUGCGUAGAUAUCAGGAGGAACACCGGUGGCGAAGGCGGCUUACUGGGCUUUUACUGACGCUGAGGCUCGAAAGCGUGGGGAGCAAACAGGAUUAGAUACCCUGGUA